CAUACACUGUAUUAUUUGCAUUACUCUUUUCAUCCAUACAAUAUAAUCUAAACUGUGAGUAGAAAGCAAUUAAAUUGGCAAUUCAUAUGUAUUAUAUAAAGACUUCUUCCUCCAAUGCUAUAUGUUGAUUCAACUCAUGGAUCAAGAAGUGAUCAAAAUGUUCAGAAUCAUAGAUAUCAACUCUAAGGAUCAAUAGGGACCAGUAGUGUAGUGCUGAAAAAAAGAAGUAUCAAAAUGCUACCUCAUGGAUGUCCAUGUGCUACCUAUACAGGUAUAGAAGGACCCACAUCCUUGGAAGAACCAUACAUCCAUGAGAACAACUAUACAUGCACCAUCAAUGAUGUACAGAAAUUCAGAAUAAAGUAUGCAGAGUUUUGUGUGACAGCAUAUAUAUAUAUACAUACAUAUUUCAUUGUAUUCUCACUCUCUCCGUGUAUAAUUUAAUAAAUCC
rnacentral:lncRNA from 1 species